UACGUAGGGGGCAAGCGUUGUCCGGAUUUAUUGGGCGUAAAGCGCACGCAGGCGGUCUCUUAAGUUUCGAGUGACAGGUCAGGGCUUAACCCUGGCAGGCCUUGGAAAACUGGGAGACUUGAGGGCUUCAGAGGGACGCGGAAUUCCAGGUGGAGCGGUGAAAUGCGUAGAGAUCUGGAGGAACACCGGUGGCGAAGGCGGGUCUCUGGGCCGAUACUGACGCUGAGGAGCGAAAGCGUGGGGAGCGAACAGG
rnacentral:rRNA from 1 species